rnacentral:rRNA from 1 species
AUGCAUGCUCUGAUGGGCUUGAGUGCCACCAAGUACUCAUUUACUGUUACUCUCAUGUUUGGAGAUACCCCUGCAACAACACUUAUCGACAGUGGAAGUACUGCUACUUUUGUUUCCCCCAGUAUUGCAAACAAAAUUCAGUGCAAGCUUUCCCCUACAAGAAAAAGAAAGGUUGUAGUGGCAAAUGGUGGAGUGCUCUGGACUGAAUUCAUGGCAAAACAAUGCAAUUACACUAUCCAAGCGACACAAUUCACUUCAGAUUUCAGAGUCUUACAGCUCCAAAGCUAUGAUGAGAUAUUAGGAGCUGACUGGAUGAAAGCUCACAAUCCUAUAGAACUGGACUUUGAGGAAAUGCAGGUAAAGAUAACCAUGCCAGGAGGCAAAAAGGUCAUCUUCCAGGAUGAGAGCCUGCCCAACAUGGUUGUACCUGAGAUGGACAGUGAGGAAGAACUAGAACAGGACCCGGUAUGUGGAGCUAUACUCCUGCUUAACUUUGUUACUGUGGCACCUCCUCCUCCUACUCCUCCUCCUCCUCCUCAACAACCAAUGCAUCCUCAAGUGAAAUUGCUCUUAAGUAAGUAUAACAACAUUUUCUCAAAGCCCACUGGCCUUCCUCCUGUCAGGGCAAUAGAUCAUACAAUCCCUCUGGUGCCUGAAGCUAAAAUAGUAAACCAGAGGCCAUAUAGAUUACCUCACCACCAAAAAGAUGCAAUGGAACAAAUCAUCCAGCAGAUGAUUAAGGACAAAGUAAUUAAGGACGGUGUUAGUCCUUACUCCUCUCCAGCUCUCCUAGUGAAAAAGAAGGAUCAAACCUGGAGACUUGUCAAUGAUUUCAGGAAACUCAAUGAACAAACAGUCAAGAACAAAUAUCCAGUGCCAGUAAUUGAAGAUCUGCUGGACGAAUUACAUGGAGCCACUGUUUUCACUAAACUAGACUUAAGAAGUGGUUACCAUCAGAUCAGGAUGAUGCAACAUGACAUAGAAAAGACAGCAUUCAGCACUCAUUGUGGGCACUAUGAGUACUUAGUUAUGCCAUUUGGGCUUACUAAUGCUCCUGCUACAUUCCAGAAGUUGAUGAAUACAAUUUUCAAGAAAUAUCUGUGA